UUUUUUUUUUUUUUAAGAGAUUACAUUUUAGGUAAACAAAAGCAAAAUGAAGAAUUCAGAACAUAAAUGAAAUAUGUGAGGGACUUUCGAAACAAUUACGUGAUAUGGUUAUGCACAGAAAACUGGCUAUAAAGAUAUACAUUACAGCACUGGGGGUUUUAUCUUAAGCUAUUUAUUUUUUGCAGUAUUUUUUAACUGAAGUAUAACUGAUUUACAAUAUCGUGUUGGUUUCAGGUAUACAACAAGGUGACUCAGUUACAUAUCUCUGUUCAGAUUAUUUUACAUUACAGGUUACUACAAGAUACUGAAUAUAGUUCCCUGUGAUAUAAAGUAAAUCCUUCUUAUCUAUUUUAAGUACAGUAGUUUGUAACUGCUAAUCUCACACUCCUAAUUUAUACUUUUCUCUUUUUCACCUUUGGUAACUAUAAAUUUGUCUUCUAUUCUGGGAAUCUGUUUCUGUUUCAUAUAUAUAUUCAUUUGUACUAUUUUUUAGAUUCCUCAUAAAGUGAUAUAGUAUUUGACUUUCUCUGCCUAACUUACUUCACUUAGUAUGAUAAUCUCUAGGUCCAUUCAUGUUGCUGCAAAUGGCAAAACUUCAUUCUUUGUGGCUGAGUAAUAACAGUCCACUGUAUGUAUAUAUCCAUCCUAUCUUCGUAAACCAAUUGUCUGUUGAUGGGCACUUGGUUUGUUUCCAUGUCUUGGCUAUUAUAAACAGUGCUGAUAUGAACAUUGGGGUGCAUGUCUUUGCGAAUUAUUUUCAUCUUUUUCAGAUAUAUGCCCAGGAAUGGGAUUGCUGGAUCAUAUGGUAGCUCUAAUUUCAAUUUUUUAAGGCCCCUCCAUACUGUUUUCCACAGUGGCUGCCACCAAUUUACACUCCCGCCAACAGUGUAGGAGGGUCCCUUUUUCUCUACACCCCCUCCAGAGUUAUUAUUAGCAGACUUUUUGAUGAUCACCAUUAUGACCAGCAUGAGGUGAUUGAUACCUCCUUGUGGUUUUGAUUUGCAUUUCUCUAAAAUUAGUGAUGUUGAGCAACUUUUCAUGCACUCACUACACUGUAGUAUUGUUUAAUUGCUAAAUUUUGGACUUCUAAAUGACUAAGAACAGAGGAUUAAUAAUGACAACAAACAAUGUAAAACACUAGUCAUAAAAAUGCUACAGAAUAUUUUAAUAUCAAAUAUUAACACAGAACAAAUAUGAAUGAAUGAAUAUUUUUCUGGUAUUUUAUUUUGAAUUAUCUCUUUUAAAAUUUUUCAUUAAAAUAUAUUAUAAAAUAAGUUUCUUUUAAAAUUAUAUACUCAACAACUAUUGCAGCUGUGAAAAAUUAACAUUCAGAAUUCUUAUCUGGCCAAAUAUAAAUUUCAAAUAUCUGAAUAGUACAAAAUAGCAAGGUUUUUUUGUUUGUAUUGUUUUUGUCUUUUGAGGGCCACAACCCCAGCAUAUGGAGGUUCCCAAGCUAAGGGUCUAAUUAGAGCUGCUGCUGCCGGCCUAUACCAGAGCCACAGCAAUGCCAGAUUCGAGCCAUGUCUGCAACCUACACCACAGCUCACAGCAACGCCGGAUCCUUAACCCACCGAGUGAGGCCAGGGAUCGAACCUGCAACCUCAUGGUUCCUCAUCGGAUUUGUUUCUCCUGAGCCACUAGGGGAACUCCGAAAGUUUAUUAUUGAAAUCAUUUACUUACCAUUUUGAUGCACAGUUACCUUCAAUACAAUUAUAACUUAGAACAGUUCUGUAUCUGUUUUAUUUUAUUUUUUAAACAUAUAAUUUUUAUUCAACUUUCAUUUUACACACACACACACACACACACACACACACGAAAUAUAUUCAAUCGCUCCUGUGGAGGCUAGAGAACAUUCUAGAAAAGCCCAAUAUUUCUUGAUUUUUUUUUUUUUUUUUUUUUGUCUUUUUGGGGCCGCACCUGCGUUACAUAGAGGUUCCCAGUCUAGGGGUCAAAUCAGAGC
rnacentral:lncRNA from 1 species